GGUGAUUUCAAAUCGUUUGUCUGCUCAGAAAUUAAGAGUCAGGAAGCUUCAACAUCUUUGUGAUAUGGAAAAGAAGGUGGAGUCCUUAGAGGUAAACUUAAUCACUUUCUAGAUUCCUUCCAUAUCUAAUUAAUUUCUUACGUUGAUGAAAAUUUUUAUUGUUUUUAAAAAAAAUCUUUUCAAACUCUAGUUGUUGUCCUCUCCUCUGCUGCAAAUCAAGCAAGACAAUGGUGGAUGGUAAGGCACCUGAACUCUUAUUUUCUCACUUUUAUUACUUAAACUAAAGAAAAUGGAGCAACAUCAAAUGUUAAGGAAAGAAAAUGUAAAUAUAGUUAUGUGUAAGGUUUUUGUGUUGUUGGUCCUGUUUUUGAAAGGUGUGUUGGGUAAAUUUGAGUAGUUGUGCUUCCAUUUCAUGAUAUCAAUUUGUUUAAUUUAGAAAACUACAAAAACUGGUAUUGGUUUCGAUUAUGUUUAAAAUCAAUACGUAAAGGGUGGGGAUUAUGGGUAGUUAGAGAGAGAAUGUAAAUGUUUAGUUUUAUUUUUUAAUGGAGUAUUAUAGGUAGGAAGUUGGAACCCAUCGUGUUCAGUAUUUUCUAUUUAUUCAUUUAAAGCUGUUGUUGGUUGGAAAGCAUCUGAGAGGCGAUGUUUUA
rnacentral:lncRNA from 1 species